rnacentral:rRNA from 1 species
AUUGAACGCUGGCGGCAUGCCUUACACAUGCAAGUCGAACGGCAGCACGGGAGCUUGCUCCUGGUGGCGAGUGGCGAACGGGUGAGUAAUACAUCGGAACGUACCCUGAAGUGGGGGAUAACGUAGCGAAAGUUACGCUAAUACCGCAUAUUCUGUGAGCAGGAAAGAGGGGGAUCGCAAGACCUCUUGCUUUAGGAGCGGCCGAUGUCGGAUUAGCUAGUUGGUGAGGUAAAGGCUCACCAAGGCGACGAUCCGUAGCGGGUCUGAGAGGAUGAUCCGCCACACUGGGACUGAGACACGGCCCAGACUCCUACGGGAGGCAGCAGUGGGGAAUUUUGGACAAUGGGCGCAAGCCUGAUCCAGCCAUGCCGCGUGAGUGAAGAAGGCUCGGUGU